rnacentral:rRNA from 1 species
AUUGAAUGCUGGCGGCAGGCUUAACACAUGCAAGUCGAGCGGGGAAGAGUAGCUUGCUACUUUACCUAGCGGCGGACGGGUGAGUAAUGCUUAGGAAUCUGCCUAUUAGUGGGGGACAACAUCUCGAAAGGGAUGCUAAUACCGCAUACGUCCUACGGGAGAAAGCAGGGGACCUUCGGGCCUUGCGCUAAUAGAUGAGCCUAAGUCGGAUUAGCUAGUUGGAGGGGUAAAGGCCUACCAAGGCGACGAUCUGUAGCGGGUCUGAGAGGAUGAUCCGCCACACUGGGACUGAGACACGGCCCAGACUCCUACGGGAGGCAGCAGUGGGGAAUAUUGGACAAUGGGGGGAACCCUGAUCCAGCCAUGCCGCGUGUGUGAAGAAGGCCUUUUGGUUGUAAAGCACUUUAAGCGAGGAGGAGGCUACCGAGAUUAAUACUCUUGGAUAGUGGACGUUACUCGCAGAAUAAGCACCGGCUAACUCUGUGCCAGCCGCCGCCGUAAUAC